rnacentral:rRNA from 1 species
AGUGAACGCUGGCGGUAGGCCUAACACAUGCAAGUCGAACGGCAGCACAGUAAGAGCUUGCUCUUACGGGUGGCGAGUGGCGGACGGGUGAGGAAUACAUCGGAAUCUACUUUUUCGUGGGGGAUAACGUAGGGAAACUUACGCUAAUACCGCAUACGACCUACGGGUGAAAGCAGGGGAUCUUCGGACCUUGCGCGAUUGAAUGAGCCGAUGUCGGAUUAGCUAGUUGGCGGGGUAAAGGCCCACCAAGGCGACGAUCCGUAGCUGGUCUGAGAGGAUGAUCAGCCACACUGGAAAUGAGACACGGGCCAGACUCCUACGGGAGGAAGCAGUGGGGAAUAUUGGAAAAUGGGCGCAAGCCUGAUCCAGCCAUACCGCGUGGGUGAAGAAGGCCUUCGGGUUGUAAAGCCCUUUUUGUUGGGAAAGAAAAGCAGCAGGUUAAUACCCCGCUGUUCUGACGGUACCCAAAGAAUAAGCACCGGCUAACUUCGUG